GAUGAACGCUAGCGGCAGGCCUAAUACAUGCAAGUCGAGCGGUGUCUUCGGACAUAGUGGCGCACGGGUGCGUAACACGUAUGCAACCUACCUUACAUUGGGGGAUAGCCUUUCGAAAGGGAGAUUAAUACCGCAUAAGACAGUAACUAGGCAUCUAGUAGCUGUUAAAGAUUUAUCGAUGUAAGCUGGGCAUGCGUCCAAUUAGCUAGUUGGUGAGGUAAUGGCUCACCAAGGCUAUGAUUGGUAGGGGAACUGAGAGGUCAAUCCCCCACACUGGCACUGAGAUACGGGCCAGACUCCUACGGGAGGCAGCAGUAGGGAAUAUUGGGCAAUGGACGCAAGUCUGACCCAGCCAUGCCGCGUGCAGGAUGAAGGCGUUAUGCGUUGUAAACUGCUUUUAUACAGGAAGAAACGACUCUUGCGAGAGGCAUUGACGGUACUGUAUGAAUAAGCACCGGCUAACUCCGUGCCAG
rnacentral:rRNA from 1 species